UGCCUACAACAUAACAUUAAUGCAUUGGAUCCUAUUAGAACUCUGUAGUUAAGCACGAUUAGGCUAGAGUAGUACUGGGAUGGGUGACCGAUCGGGAAGUCCUAGUAUUUUAAAUGC
rnacentral:rRNA from 1 species